UCCUCCUGUCUCUUAGCUUCACCUCUCCACCUGAGAAGGUAUCAUCACUAACUUCUCUAAGCUUCACCUCUGUGACUCCAACUGAGGUAUACUGACGAGGAGGCACACAAACGUAUGUGCAAUUGGUGUUGGUUUGCUGCAUAAUGUUAUGCAGAUCACGUGUAUCAUCUACAGUUAAUUGUAAUGGUUUCUCGAAAACCUUGUAGGACUCUUCAAUGAAGAUCCCAAAGGACUCUCUACAUUAUGGACAAGGAAACCUGUUCGAUCACCAUGCACUGCAAAAGGAUUCUGGCUAUGGAUAGCAUACAGAGGACGUUCAACACAUUAACAUCAACAUGCAAGGUGAUGUAACCAUUGGACUUGGGGCUGUGCUGGGAGAUGACCUCAUAUUUGGAUUUUAAAAUAUUGCUUUGCCAUUAAAAUUAUAAUA